rnacentral:rRNA from 1 species
AGAGUUUGAUCCUGGCUCAGGAUGAACGCUGGCGGCGUGCUUAACACAUGCAAGUCGAACGAAGCACUUUAUUUGAUUUCCUUCGGGACUGAUUAUUUUGUGACUGAGUGGCGGACGGGUGAGUAACGCGUGGGUAACCUGCCUUGUACAGGGGGAUAACAGUUGGAAACGGCUGCAUAAUACCGCAUAAGCGCACGGCAUCGCAUGAUGCAGUGUGAAAAACUCCGGUGGUAUAAGAUGGACCCACGUUGGAUUAGCUAGUUGGGUGAGGUAACGGCCCACCAAGGAGACGAUCCAUAGCCGACCUGAGAGGGUGACCGGCCACAUUUGGGACUGAGACACGGCCCAAACUCCUACGGGAGGCAGCAGUGGGGAAUAUUGCACAAUGGGCGAAAGCCUGAUGCAGCGACGCCGCGUGAGCGAAGAAGUAUUUCGGUAUGUAAAGCUCUAUCAGCAGGGAAGAUAAUGACGGUACCUGACUAAGAAGCACCGGCUAAAUACGUGCCAGCAGCCGCGGUAAUACGUAUGGUGCAAGCGUUAUCCGGAUUUACUGGGUGUAAAGGGAGCGCAGGCGGUGCGGCAAGUCUGAUGUGAAAGACCCGGGGCUCAACCCCGGUACUGCAUUGGAAACUGUCGUACUAGAGUGUCGGAGGGGUAAGCGGAAUUCCUAGUGUAGCGGUGAAAUGCGUAGAUAUUAGGAGGAACACCAGUGGCGAAGGCGGCUUACUGGACGAUAACUGACGCUGAGGCUCGAAAGCGUGGGGAGCAAACAGGAUUAGAUACCCUGGUAGUCCACGCCGUAAACGAUGA